rnacentral:pre_miRNA from 1 species
CUGGUUUUCCCAAUGAUCAUCCAGAGGAAUAUAUGAAAUCUGAGAUCAUUGUGAAAGCUGAUU